rnacentral:rRNA from 1 species
UACGUAGGGGCCAAGCGUUGUCCGGAUUUAUUGGGCGUAAAGAGCUCGUAGGUGGUUCGGCAAGUCAGUUGUGAAAUCUCCGCGCUCAACGCGGAGGGGUCAGCUGAAACUGCUGUGACUUGAGUCUGGUAGGGGAGUGUGGAAUUCCCGGUGUAGCGGUGAAAUGCGCAGAUAUCGGGAGGAACACCAGUGGCGAAGGCGGCACUCUGGGCCAGUAC